GCCUAACACAUGCAAGUCGAGGGGAGUUGGCUGCUUCGCUUGUUAACCUGGAGGUCAACCGGCGCACGGGUGAUUAACACCUAUCCUUCCUGCCCCCGAUGAGGGAUAACCCGACUAAACACACCCUAUUACCUCUUGGACUCCAAUUUUGCCAUCAACCUUGCAGUAUAUAUUCGUUGACGUGCGAUGGGGAUACUUCUGAUUAGCUUGGUGGCCGGGCCACCGCCCACCCAAGCAACGAUCAGUAUGGGUUCUAGAAACGAGAAGCCCUCCCACACUUGAGAAUCUGAGCACCACGAGUCCAUACUCCUACGGGAGGCGGCGAUUGUUGAAUAUUGGUCAAUGGGCGAGACCCUGAACCAGCCAAUUAGCGAGCAGGAAGACGGCCCUAUGAACUUGUAAACUGCUUUUACUGCGGAGAUAAAGGGGGCUACGUGUCACCCUUUGCCUGUACCCCAUGAAUAAGGACCGGCUAAUUCCGUGCCAGCAGCCGCGGUAAUACGGAAGGUCCGGGCGUUAUCCGGAUUUAUUGGGUUUAAAGGGAGCGCAGGCCGGGUAUUAAGCGUGUUGUGAAAUGUAGGCGCCCAACGUCUGCACCGCAGCGCGAACUGGUGCCCUUGAGUACGCACGACGUUGGCGGAAUUCGCCGUGUAGCGGUGAAAUGCUUAGAUAUGGCGAAGAACUCCGAUUGCGAAGGCAGCUGACGGGAGCGCUACUGACGCUCAUGCUCGAAAGCGCGGGUAUCGAACAGGAUUAGAUACCCUGGUAGUCCGCGCGGUAAACGAUGGAUGCCCGCUAUUUGCGCAUUAGCGCAAGUGGCCAAGUGAAAACGUUAAGCAUCCCACCUGGGGAGUACGCCGGCAACGGUGAAACUCAAAGGAAUUGACGGGGGCCCGCACAAGCGGAGGAACAUGUGGUUUAAUUCGAUGAUACGCGAGGAACCUUACCCGGGCUUGAAUUGCAGAGGAAAGAUCCAGAGAUGGUGAUGCCCUUCGGGGCCUCUGUGAAGGUGCUGCAUGGUUGUCGUCAGCUCGUGCCGUGAGGUGUCGGCUUAAGUGCCAUAACGAGCGCAACCCCUCUCCAUAGUUGCCAUCAGGUAGUGCUGGGCACUCUGUGGACACUGCCACCGUAAGGUGCGAGGAAGGUGGGGAUGACGUCAAAUCAGCACGGCCCUUACGUCCGGGGCUACACACGUGUUACAAUGGGGGGUACAGAGAGUCGGGACAACGCGAGUUGCCCCCAAUAAUCAAAGCCCCCCUCAGUUCGGACUGGGGUCUGCAACCCGACCCCACGAAGCUGGAUUCGCUAGUAAUCGCGCAUCAGCCAUGGCGCGGUGAAUACGUUCCCGGGCCUU
rnacentral:rRNA from 1 species